rnacentral:rRNA from 1 species
GGACUACACGGGUAUCUAAUCCUGUUUGCUCCCCACGCUUUCGCGUCUCAGCGUCAGUCACUGUCCAGAAGGCCGCCUUCGCCACCGGUGUUCCUCUCGAUAUCUACGAAUUUCACCUCUACACCGAGAAUUCCGCCUUCCUCUCCAGGACUCGAGUUCUGCAGUUUCGAGUGCACUUCCCAGGUUGAGCCCGGGGCUUUCACACCCGACUUGCAGAACAGCCUACACGCGCUUUACGCCCAGUAAUUCCGAACAACGUUUGCACCCUCUGUCUUACCGCGGCUGCUGGCAC